CCACGGACGAACGCUGGGCGGCGUGCCUAAUACAUGCAAGUCGAGCGGAGUUUUGAAAAGCUUGCUUUUCAAAACUUAGCGGCGGACGGGUGAGUAACACGUGGGCAACCUGCCCUUGAGACGGGGAUAACUCCGGGAAACCGGAGCUAAUACCGGAUAACACAUAUCUUCGCAUGAGGAUAUGUUAGAAGGUGGCUUUUAGCUACCACUCAAGGAUGGGCCCGCGGCGCAUUAGCUAGUUGGUGAGGUAACGGCUCACCAAGGCGACGAUGCGUAGCCGACCUGAGAGGGUGAUCGGCCACACUGGGACUGAGACACGGCCCAGACUCCUACGGGAGGCAGCAGUAGGGAAUCUUCCGCAAUGGACGAAAGUCUGACGGAGCAACGCCGCGUGAGUGAUGAAGGUUUUCGGAUCGUAAAGCUCUGUUGUUAGGGAAGAACAAGUACCUGUUGAAUAAGCAGGUACCUUGACGGUACCUAACCAGAAAGCCACGGCUAACUACGUGCCAGCAGCCGCGGUAAUACGUAGGUGGCAAGCGUUGUCCGGAAUUAUUGGGCGUAAAGCGCGCGCAGGCGGUUCCUUAAAGUCUGAUGUGAAAGCCCACGGCUCAACCGUGGAGGGUCAUUGGAAACUGGGGAACUUGAGUGCAGAAGAGGAGAGCGGAAUUCCACGUGUAGCGGUGAAAUGCGUAGAGAUGUGGAGGAACACCAGUGGCGAAGGCGGCUCUCUGGUCUGUAACUGACGCUGAGGCGCGAAAGCGUGGGGAGCGAACAGGAUUAGAUACCCUGGUAGUCCACGCCGUAAACGAUGAGUGCUAAGUGUUAGAGGGUUUCCGCCCUUUAGUGCUGCAGCAAACGCAUUAAGCACUCCGCCUGGGGAGUACGGUCGCAAGACUGAAACUCAAAGGAAUUGACGGGGACCCGCACAAGCGGGUGGGAGCAUGGUGGUUUAAUUCGAAGCAACGCGAAGAACCUUACCAGGUCUUGACAUCCUCUGCUACUUCUAGAGAUAGAAGGUUCCCUUCGGGGACAGAGUGACAGGUGGUGCAUGGUUGUCGUCAGCUCGUGUCGUGAGAUGUUGGGUUAAGUCCCGCAACGAGCGCAACCCUUGAUCUUAGUUGCCAGCAUUUAGUUGGGCACUCUAAGGUGACUGCCGGUGACAAACCGGAG
rnacentral:rRNA from 2 species